rnacentral:lncRNA from 1 species
UUUAAAAAUAAUUAACACCAACAUUUUUCAAAUUGUUUCAAAAAUUGAGGAAGAAAGAAUACAUCAAAAUUUAUGUUAUGAGGCCAAUAUUACCCUGAUACCAAAGUCACACAAAAAUACCACAAGAAAAGAAAACUAUAGGGCAAUAUCUCUAAUAAAUACAGAAGCAAAAAUCAACAAUAAAAUACUACCGAGCUGAAUUUAAGAGUACAUUUAAAGGAUGUGCUAUAUCAUAACCUAUAUCAUUGUCUGUAUCACAACCAAGAGGGAUUUACCUCUGGCAUGUAAACAUGGUUCAACAUAUGAAAAUCAAUUAAUGUGAUACACUACAUUAACAGAAUAAAGGAUAAAAUAAAAAUUACAUGAUCAUCUCAAGAGUAUUUUACAAAAUUUCAUGAUAAAAACAAUCAAUACGUCAAAACAGAAGGAAAUUAUCUCAGCAUAAUAAAGGCCAUAUAUGAAAAGCGAUACCUAACAUCAUACUCAGUGGUUAAAUCUGAAAGCUUUCAAAGCUUUGGAUGCCCACUCUCAAAACUUCUAAGCAAGAUGUUACUGUAAAUCUUAGAUAGAGCAAUUAGGCUAGAAAAGGAAAUGAAAAGCAUUCAAAUUGGAAAGGUAUAUUAGGCCAUUCUUGUAUUACUAGAAAGAAAUAUGUGAGGCUGGGUAAUCUAUAAAGAAAAGAAAUUUCAUUGCCUCAUCAUUCAGCAAGCUGUACAAGCAUCGCACCAGCAUCUGCUUGGCUUCUGGGGAGGCUUCAGGGGGCUUUUACUCAUGGCAGAAGACAAAGCAGGAACAGGCAAAUCACAUAGUGAAAGCAGGAGUGUGGGGGAAGUGCCACACACUUUUAAGGAACCAGAUCAGUGAGAACUCACUAACAUGACGAUGGCACCAAGAUGAUGGUGCUAAAACAUUCAUGAAUAGUACACUCCCAUAAUCUAAUCACCUUCUAUCAGGCUCCACCUCCAAGAGAUUACAUUUCAACAUGAGAUUUGGGUGAAGAAAAAUACACAAACUAUAUAAUUCUGUUUUAGCUCCACUAACAAAAUCUCAUUUCCUUCUCACACUGCAAAAUACAAUCAUGCCUUCCAACAGUUUCCCAAGGUAUUAACUUAUUCCAGCAUCAACUCAAUCAAAAGUUCCAAGUCCAAAGUAUUAUUGGAAGAUGCAUUUUGUUCACCUGUGAGCCUCAUGAAAAUGGAAAUGAAAAGAGAGCAUUCAUGGUUUUGUACGUAGC